rnacentral:rRNA from 1 species
UACGAAGGGGGCUAGCGUUGCUCGGAAUCACUGGGCGUAAAGGGUGCGUAGGCGGGUCUUUAAGUCAGGGGUGAAAUCCUGGAGCUCAACUCCAGAACUGCCUUUGAUACUGAGGAUCUUGAGUUCGGGAGAGGUGAGUGGAACUGCGAGUGUAGAGGUGAAAUUCGUAGAUAUUCGCAAGAACACCAGUGGCGAAAGGCGGCUCACUGGCCCGAUACUGACGCUGAGGCACGAAAGCGUGGGGAGCAAACAGG